rnacentral:rRNA from 1 species
GACGAACGCUGGCGGCGUGCCUAAUACAUGCAAGUCGAACGAGAGCGACCGGUGCUUGCACUGGUCAAUCUAGUGGCGAACGGGUGAGUAACACGUGGGUAACCUGCCCAUCAGAGGGGGAUAACAUCCGGAAACGGAUGCUAAAACCGCAUAGGUCUUCGAGCCGCAUGGCUUGAAGAGGAAAAGAGGCGCAAGCUUCUGCUGAUGGAUGGACCCGCGGUGCAUUAGCUAGUUGGUGAGGUAACGGCUCACCAAGGCCGUGAUGCAUAGCCGACCUGAGAGGGUGAUCGGCCACAUUGGGACUGAGACACGGCCCAAACUCCUGCGGGAGGCAGCAGUAGGGAAUCUUCCGCAAUGGACGCAAGUCUGACGGAGCAACGCCGCGUGAGUGAAGAAGGUUUUCGGAUCGUAAAACUCUGUUGUUAGAGAAGAACAAGUGCUAGAGUAACUGUUAGCGCCUUGACGGUAUCUAACCAGAAAGCCACGGCUAACUACGUG